CUAGGACACCACAGCUCCUUCCAGCCGGUUGGUGAGGAGUGGCUGCAGACGUGCAGGGACCCGACAAGGUUAGGCCACCAACCCAACUCGCCCCCUGCUCUCACCAAGUCUUCUUUUUACUUUUUUUGUUCCUGGUUGGAAAAUAGAUAGAUGAUGUCCAGUUAGAAGAUUCGGAUUGGUUGGACAAUAGAUGAUAGAUGGAUGAUGUCCUGUUACAAGAUGAGGCAUGAAUUUCAGCUGAAAUCUCAAGAUUGAGUUAUUGGCAGUUGAAAUGCCGAUUAAAACAAAAUUAGGUCUAACUUGGUGGAAUGACCUCAUUAGUAUAUACAGAGAAGAGUUUUUUUUUUCAUAUCAGGUACUUUCAUAUCAUAUCUCCUGUUAUUUGGUACUUUGUGUUGUGCAUACCAUGAGGAUUUGGAGAUGAUCCCAAUAUGAGUAUACUGAACAAUAGUAUAUUUAGUUCCUUGUAUAUUUUUUCUUUUAUGGGCAUGAUGUUGUAGUUUAGUUUAGAGUAACGAUUAAUUUAGGUAGCAAGCGACGAUGCAGUACUAUGGAUGCAGAUUAACUAAUCUUUGUUGUUUCAUCAUGAUGUGCAUGAGUGCUUUGGGAAAACAUAACCUAACAAAACUGAUGAAAGGCAUUUAGACAGUGGGCUAAAUUUUAUAGCUCUUCCACCGUAUCUAUCUGAAAAUUUUAUAGCUCUUCCACCGUAACUAAUCUGAUCGUAAGCAUCUACAGUGUACUAAAGUUUCUGCUUAUUAAGCACUGAAAAUUUCUGGACAGGGAGGUAUCGUUAACAAAGGCUGGGGUGGGCUUGUUUUUGGUUUUGUUUUUAGCUUAAGUUGCUGCUUGGUGCUAUGCUUCAGUUCACUCCUUCAUUUAUCUUCAAUCAAAACAGUCAACAAAAAUCUGUAUUAGCAAUGGUUAAUAUUUCUUAUUAUGGUAUUAUUUUUUACCCAUUGCAACACAUGGUCAUGAUCUUUGUUGGUUAGCUCUAUUCUUUUUUUAUAUUUUCUUAGAUUGUUGAGAAUUCCCAUCACAGCUUCAAGGUCCCUGAAAGAUUGUGAACCUUCACUGGUUCUCAGGUAAUGUGUACACACUUCCCAGAUAUGGUGUUUAGCAAGUAAUAUAAUGAGGACAUAUUUUUACUAGAGUAGCAGAUUUUAGUACUAGAUUUGGUAGGAAUUUCACUGCUACCUCACUUAACCAAUUUGAUCAGAACACAGGAUCCACACAAAUUAAUCUACAAAUCAGCUGAAACAACAAUGGCUCUUGAGGUACAAUACAAAAUGAUGACAUAGUACAAUAAUUAUCCUCCAUGCUAAUGCUACAGUAGCCAUGGUAAGUCAGGUUGAGUUGUGAACUAUAGGGAUGAAGAAAGCCAAGAUUAG
rnacentral:lncRNA from 1 species